CAACAACACCUCCAUUAUAACUUUACUUACAUUUUGCACCACCAUCAAACCAAGCACCUCCCGCCUCUUCACAGACUACCAUGUCCGUCGACAAGAAUCUCCAUAUAGUAAUGUUCCCAUGGCUAGCUUUCGGCCAUAUGAUUCCUUAUCUUGAGCUCUCCAAACUCAUUGCUCAAAAGGGUCACCGAGUCUCCUUCGUUUCCACCCCCAAAAACAUCGACCGUCUCCCAACACAACUCCCUCCUCAUCUAUCUCCUUUUCUCAGCUUCGUCAAAAUUCCUCUGCCUCAACUCCAUAAUCUGCCUCCCCGACGCAAGAGGCCACAUCCGAUCUCCCUUACGACAAAGUUCAGUUUCUCAAAAAAGCCUUCGACGCCCUCAAACAACCCCUCUCUGACUUUCUUCAAACUUCCGAUGCAGAUUGGAUCUUGUACGACUUUGCUCCCUAUUGGGUUGGUCAAGAGAUCGGACCCAAUCUCCGGAUUAAGACAGCUUUCUUCACCAUCUUUAUUCUCCAAUCUCUCGCAUUCGUCGGUCCCAUGUCAGGGGACAGUCGCAUGAAACUGGAGGAUUUUACGGUUCCUCCCGACUGGAUCCCUUUCCCCACUACCGUAGCAUUUCGUCACUUCGAAAUUAAAAAGCUUUUCGACUUCGUAGCUGGUAAUACCACCGGAGUUACCGAUAUUGAUCGCUUGAAAAUGAGUGCUCACUACAGCGAUUUAGUGGUUGUGAGAGCCUUCCCUGAAUUCGAACCGGAGUGGAUUCAACUGCUUGAAGAUAUACACCAUAAAACCGUUUUACCAGUUGGUCAACUACCUACGUCGGAGUACGAUUUGAAGGAAGACAAUCCAACGUGGCAGUCCAUUAAAGAGUGGCUGGACAAACAAGCUAAAGGUUCUGUGGUCUACGUGGCAUUCGGGAGUGAGGCCAAACCUAAUCAACACGAACUAACAGAGAUCGCUUUGGGGUUGGAACAAUCGAGGUUUUCGUUUUUUUGGGUUUUAAGGACACGGCUCGGACUAUCUGACCCUGAACCGAUUGAGCUGCCCGAGGGAUUCGAGGAACGAACCAAAGGGCGGGGUGUUGUGUGCACCACUUGGGCGCCGCAGUUGAAGAUAUUGGGGCAUGAGUCGGUGGGUGGGUUUUUGACACACUCUGGUUGGAGCUCUGUUGUGGAAGCGAUUCAGAGUGAAAGAGCGUUGGUGUUACUGUCUUUUGUGGCGGACCAAGGAAUCAUUGCGAGAGUGUUGGAAGAGAAGAAGAUGGGUUACUGCGUUCCAAGGAGCGAAUUGGAUGGUUCGUUUACGAGGGACUCAGUGGCCGAAUCAUUGAAGUUGGUAAUGGUGGAGGAAGAAGGUAAGGUUUAUAGAGAGAGAAUAAGAGAGAUGAAGGAUUUGUUUGUGAACAAAGAAAGAGAUGAGAAGUUAAUUGAUGGGUUUUUGAGCUAUCUAAAGAAGCAUAGAAACAAUGUUGAUGAGCAGGAUCAUUAAUUAACUAUGAAUUUCAGAACAUUAGAGUGUGUAAUACAAUCAAUCUUAUUGAUUGUGUAAUAAAAUUGAUUGUUUAUAUUUUGAGUCACAUGGAUUUGUCUUUUAAUGUGUGUAGUAGGAAAAAUAAAAAGAAAAAGAAAGUGUAAGUUGAGACGCAGUUUUCAUAUUUUCAUUUAGAGAAAAGUUGCUAAAGUGUGAGUUAAAAAAUGCUGCCACACGUGGCACUUUUUUUUUAAAAAUAAAAAGUUGCUGUUAUUAUUAUUAUUAUUUUGAGAGAAGUGAAGAACACAUGUGAUUGAA